UCCUCCUAUGCUUGGAAAUCUGCACGCCACACAAAAAGAAGACCUUACGCAAGAGUCUCCUCGGUCUAUUUAUACAGAAACGGCUCACAUCAGCAGGCUGAGCGGCAUGGCCGUCAUGUAGGACCGCAGCACUAAACUGAGCAGGUUGGGGACAAUUGUUGACCUGGAUUUGCAGAAGUAUUCGCUGGGAGACGGAUCAUUUUGCCCCACAUUCAGUUUCUAGGCCUUUCGGGGAAAAAAGAAAAACGUGCCAACCAGUACUAAGAGUUUCAGGCUGAACAAAGCAUGCACAGAUAGCGAAGUGUUUGGCGUCUGCGUCCGUGUCCACAGAGAUAAAGGAUGACAACAACCUAGUGACGGUAAAGGAACCUGGAACAGGUGCCCAGCAGCACCAAACAACACCCAAACACACAUGUGG